rnacentral:rRNA from 1 species
GGAUGACUUGUGGAUAGCGGAGAAAUUCCAAUCGAACUCGGAGAUAGCUGGUUCUCCCCGAAAUAGCUUUAGGGCUAGCGUUAUUUUAGAUUACCGGAGGUAAAGCACUGAAUGGUCUAGGGGCCGCGAGGUUACCAAAGCCUAUCAAACUCUGAAUGCCGGAUAAUUGAUGAAUAGCAGUCAGACUGUGUGAGAUAAGUCUCAUAGUCAAAAGGGAAACAGCCCAGAUCUACAGCUAAGGUCCCAAAUGAACACUAAGUGGAAAAUGAUGUGAAACUGCGAAGACAACCAGGAUGUUGGCUUAGAAGCAGCCACUCAUUCAAAGAGUGCGUAAUAGCUCACUGGUCGAGUGGUUUUGCGCAGAAAAUGUAACGGGGCUAAGUGUUCAACCGAAGCUUAGGCAUUGCAGUAAUGCAUUGGGUAGGGGAGCGUCGUAUGCGGGGUGAAGUCAGAGCGGAAGCACUGGUGGACUGCAUACGAGUGAGAAUGCCGGAAUAAGUAGCGAGAAUUAUGUGAGAAUCAUAAUGGCCGAAAAUCUAAGGUUUCUUGGGGAAGGUUCGUCCGCCCAAGGUAAGUCGGGAGCUAAGCUCAGGCCGAAAGGCGUAGGCGAUGCACAUACGGUAGAAAUUCCGUAACCACCGAACAUUUAAGCUAGAGGGACGCUUUCUUUAAGUCUAUCCCGGGCGAUGGUUGCCCCGGGCGUAAGGGACCGAAAUAUAGUAGGGAAGUAACUGGCGAGAGAGACGAGAAAAGCUCUAGUGUAUACUAAGGUGCCCGUACCGCAAACCGACACAGGUAGAUGGGAUGAGUAUUCUAAGGCCAACGGGAGAAGGGUUGUUAAGGAACUCGGCAAAUUGGCCCCGUAACUUCGGGAUAAGGGGUGCCUGCGAGAGCAGGCCGCAGUGAAAAGGCCCAAGCGACUGUUUAGCAAAAACACAGCUCUCUGCUAAAUCGAAAGAUGACGUAUAGGGGGUGACGCCUGCCCGGUGCUGGAAGGUUAAGGGGAGUGCUUAGCGCAAGCGAAGGUGCGAACUUAAGCCCCAGUAAACGGCGGCCGUAACUAUAACGGUCCUAAGGUAGCGAAAUUCCUUGUCAGGUAAGUUCUGACCCGCACGAAUGGCGUAAUGA